rnacentral:lncRNA from 1 species
UUAGAUACAAAAAUGAGUUGCUUCAGAGUGAUGUGACACAAUGGAACCCACUUAAACUACUCAUAAUGAGUUGCACCAAUGGAGGUGAUUAAGAAUGUCAGUGGGACGGAGAUUGCUCCACCGCUCCCUAUUCCCGCCCUUCAAGAUGUCCCUCGUUCCAUCUCUACUCCCCACCAUGGAGAGAUUUUCUCCCCAUCCUUGUGGAUCCCCACGGGGACCAUAAACAUAGUAAAAUUGUAAGUUCUAUAUUCUUUUUAGGAUA